AUGGUGCGGAAGCUUCAGUUCCACGAGGAGAAGCUGCUGAAAGCAGGUGGACUUCCUGAACUGGGAGGUCACCGGUCACAGCCUGCACGAGCUGCGCGUGUUGCGGCGUUUACUGGCUGCAGCCACUGGAGGACCACACGCACUACAACCAGCUGAGCCGUGCCAUGCGUGAGCUGGCGAGGCGCCUGCGCGACCCGCCGGAGCGCGACCCGUUCCACAUACGCGCUUCCGCCGCGCUGCUGGACAAGCUGUAUACUUCCGGCCUGGAACGCGCAGUUCGCUGGAGCUCUGUGACUUCGUCACAGCCUCGUUCUUCUGCCGCAGCCACCUUCUCACCGUGCUCCUCAAGCUGCGGUGGCCUUUGUGGAGCAAGGCCACAUACACGUGAGCUCUGACGUGGUUACCGACCCCGCCUUGGAGGACUUUGUCACUUGGGUUGACUCCUCCAAGAUCAAGUGGCAGUGCUAGAUAGAGUACAACGAGGAGCGCGAUGACUUUGACCUGGAAGUCUAGCGGCUCUCCCACUCUCCACGGUUGUCUUUUACAGAUGGGGAAACUGAGGCCUGAUGCUGGAGAUUCUCUGAGGGUGCUCUCCCCAAGGGUGUCAGACGGUCGUAGGUUCUUAAGAACUUGAUUCAUCAAUGGCAGGUCAUGCACAGAGCCACAGGAGGUGCGUCCUUGUUUUCCAGGAAAUGUUCCUAGAACUUGGACUACUGAUUUUUGUGCCUGGGGAAACAGUGGGAAGUAACUUGGUGCUGCUCUGGGGUAUUGUUGGCUUCUUGCGUUGGAAACUUUGUAAUGUAAAAGCAAAAACCACAAGUCCCCACGCCCUAUUUAGCUUUAUCGUCUUGUAGCUGGACUGGUUCAAUUCGUUUAACUCAAAUUCUUGUUCCUGGCCAUGGUUAAGCUGUGUGGAGAUGAUGGAGAGUUUGGUGGGCUCAAGUUUUUAUAAAUUGAGUGAGACUAGUGUGUUCAGGCCCUCCCUUGUUUAAAGGAAUGCUUUCCUAAUGCCAGUAAAUGCCUCAGCUGCUUUGUAAGUGCAA